rnacentral:rRNA from 1 species
UACGUAGGUGGCAAGCGUUGUCCGGAUUUACUGGGUGUAAAGGGCGUGUAGACGGGUGUUUAAGUCAGACGUGAAAUACCGAAGCUCAACUUCGGAACUGCGUUUGAAACUGCACAUCUUGAGUGCAGGAGAGGAAAGCGGAAUUCCUAGUGUAGCGGUGAAAUGCGUAGAUAUUAGGAGGAACACCAGUGGCGAAGGCGGCUUUCUGGACUGUAACUGACGUUGAGGCGCGAAAGUGUGGGGAGCAAACAGG